UGAAAUCCAAACAAAUGUUCUUGACAAAUAAAUGUAAAUAUAAAAAUCACAAAUCACUAUCAAUGACCUAAAAGUAAAAUUUCAUAGUAGAUGUAUUUGCAAAGGUCUUAUUGGGAUUGAGAAUCAAAUAAUGCAGGAUCAACUGAAGGUGUAAGUGAAAAUGAUGGUUGCUCUUUCAUGAAUUUUAUGAAAUCUUCAACUACCUGUAGUCUGUUAUCUUGGUCCUCAAUCUUUUUUGCUUGCUCCUCAAUCGUCUUUGUCAUCUCCUGAUUUUGUUGGGACAAUGCUACAUUGGAUGUUAACUUUGAAGGACCUAUCAUUUUCUUCACAAAAUUAGAUUUCUUCCCCAAAACAAUUUCACAAAUUUGAUUAUCAGUUAAUGGCUCAACAUUUUCCUCGGUAUUGGAGUUUUGCUUCAUGUCUAUCAUUUGGUCCUGCAUAAUUAGAAAUUGAAUAAUUACUAAAUCUUUAAAAAUAAUACUAAACACAUCUACAAAAGAUAGCGAAUCAUAUUUUAUUAGGCAUAUUGAAAAUAAAGCUCUUGAAUCUCGCUAAAAAAAGAUAUUAACAGCAAGGAGGAAGCUCUUGAAUGCCUGAGGAGAUAGAACAAGAAAAAGAAAGAUGAGUAUAAAUGUAUAAUAUAUAUAACUCGGUGAGUGGAUUCUUUAAUUAUUACUACUCUAAUAACAUACUUUCUGGAAUCCACUAGUACUAGAAAAGAAUAAUAAAAACAGAAAUAAAUAUAAAAUUACAAGAAGGGUUCUAAGCAAAUAAUAUAAUGAGUUAUGAGUAUGAUUUCAAUUAAUAUUCUGUUUACAUCUAUAUCUAUGUUGGAGAAUGAUGCAAAAUAACAAUUCUAAGCAUAUUGAAUCUCUGGUCGCCACUCAAUGCACAAGUAGAGCAUAUUAAGCCCGUCAUACAUGAGUGGAAAGUAAGCUUGGAAUUAAAAGCAGAACAAUCACAACAUGUCAUACACUGCAAAUAUAAUCAAUGUGCAUGUUGAGCAAUAUAUG
rnacentral:lncRNA from 1 species